AGCGAACGCUGGCGGCAGGCCUAACACAAGCAAGUCGAACGAAGUCUUCGGACUUAGUGGCGGACGGGUGAGUAACACGUGGGAACGUGCCUUGAGGUUCGGAAUAACUCAGGGAAACUUGUGCUAAUACCGAAUGUGCCCUUCGGGGGAAAGAUUUAUCGCCUUUAGAGCGGCCCGCGUCUGAUUAGCUAGUUGGUGAGGUAAAGGCUCACCAAGGCUACGAUCAGUAGCUGGUCUGAGAGGAUGACCAGCCACAUUGGGACUGAGGCACGGCCCAAACUCCUACGGGAGGCAGCAGUGGGGAAUCUUGCGCAAUGGGCGAAAGCCUGACGCAGCCAUGCCGCGUGGAUGAUGAAGGUCUUAGGAUUGUAAAAUCCUUUCACCGGUGAAGAUAAUGACUGUAGCCGGAGAAGAAGCCCCGGCUAACUUCGUGCCAGCCGCCGCGGUAACAC
rnacentral:rRNA from 1 species